GUAUUUUUCAAAUUUUCUACCACGACUAUUUAUUUCUCUGGUUAGCAAAAAAAAAAAGGAAAAAUCUCUGCAGCUCAGAUCAAAUAAGCUGACCUUUUACUCUGACCAUCCGCGCGUCCGCUUAACUCCCUUUCUCGUGUCUCGCUGUCCCUGCCCUGGGGACCCGGCUGUCCCUCCGUCUGGAUAAUUGGCCUCUGGCCCAGUGGGAAGCAGGUGGCCCCAGCAGCCCUGCCCCCUAACGCGAGGGGAGGGGCUCUGCUCCGCCGGCGGAGGGGCUCAGAUGGACGGCAGCUGCGCCCCACCUCCAGCUCGGGCCCGCCCCCUUCUCUCACCCCCGGGGCGUUUUUCAGGCGGGAGGAAUAAACAACGAAGGCCUGUGGCCAUCGCGGGCGUGCCAAGCAGUGGGUGUCAUCUGGCGGCCCUUCAGCCCAAACCUUUUAUGUUGACAAACCGCGUCGAUCAGAGGACUAAUUGCUUCUUGCUGUCUCCGGCCCGGCCAAGUGCUCCACAAUGACUCACAAACCAACCGCACAACUGGCGAUCGCAAAAGUCUUUACCCUCCUGGAAACAGACACGAGAGAGAGCGCCCACCGCCUGGUUGGGGCUGGGAGCUGAGGCUCAUUUUACCAGUGCGGGUCCCUGCCAGGACAGAAACCUUCCCUCAGAGGCAGGAAGACUCCCUUCCCGCAAUCCCUGGCUGCCCCCCAGCCACCAGGUAGCUGAUGGCUUCCCUUGGAAAACAUUGUAGAACCCCCAGGCCUGUGCCGAACUCAGAAUUCCCUGGAGGAAGAGACGGACAGCUCACACAGUCUAGGGUGCAGCCUCCAGACCUGAAGAGGACCAUUUCUCAACCUGGAAAUCUUUAGAGACAGAAAAUCCGUGAUUUCUCCCAAGUGUUUUAUAUCCUGGUAGCCAAGCAGAGAGAAUGACAGGCCAAGGUCCUGAGCAGAUGAGCCCUUUCGGAGAAGUCAAGAGUCAUGUGGAUGGAGCCAGGGGCCUUAUGCCCUCGGAACCAGGCCCUGGACGAGGUGGACACUUGUGUCUGUGGCGGGUCUCUGCUAAAGCCCCCAACACACACACACACACACACACACACACACACAGAAUCUUUUUUUUUUUUUUAAAUAAGACCAACCAACAGCAGCAAAAAGCCCAGCCUUACCUAAUUAUUCAAAUAGACUGGAGUAUUUUCCCUGGGGUGACUUCCAAUUUCCUUCCUUUUGACAAUAUGAUUAUAAUCCCAACAUAUCCUGGGGGUUGAAAAGAAGAAAACAGGGUCCUUUAUGCAAAACCCCAGUCCAUGAACCGCCCGUCCCCCAGGUGGGGGGCUGCAGAGAAUUUCCAGGUGCUGUGGAAGGCAGCAACCUCAACCUUUGUGGCACCCGGGAGCAAGCGGUUUUGUGGAAGACGGCUUUUCCACGGACAGGGGUAGGGGAACGGUUUCAGGAUGGCUCAAGUGCCUCACGUGUACUGUGCGCUUUAUCUUUAAUCUCGUGCUGUCGCUGAUCUGACUGGAGGUACUGGUCUGCAGCCUGGAGGUUCGGGACCCCUGGUGCAAGCUCAAACGUAAUGAAGACAAACCUUAGAUGCACUGGGGCCAGAGCAAGGCUCCGGCUGGACCGUCUCCGUCUCCCCAGCCGGCAUGGUGCCCCCUGCCCCUCCUGGUUCCGUGCCAGGCCAGCGCCCAGAGGCUGCAGCAGGAUGUGGGGUGGGGUGGGGGUGGAUUUCCUAAUACUAAUCCAGGGAGUGAGGAUGGAGCUGCAAGAGCUCCUGCCAGCCCAGAGUGGACUCAGGCCCAGGGUCUGCACGCUCCUCUGAUGAACUGGAGAGCGAUCAAUCAGAAAAGGGGGCCAGAGCUUCCGGAAGCACCCAGGAAAUGAAGACGAGAUUCUUCUGUUACGGGUUGUCACAGGAUGCUGAGUAGACUGUGCUCCAGUAGGUCCUUGAAAGUGUUAGUCGCUCAGUCGUGUCCGACUCUGCUAUCCCAUGGACUGUAGCCCCCCAGUGCCCUCUGUCCGUGGGAUUCUCCAGGCCAGAAUACUGGAGUGGGGAGCCUUUCCCUUCUCCAGGGGAUCUUCCUAACCCAGGGAUCAAACCCAGGUCUCCUGCACUGCAGGCAGAUUCUUUACUGUCUGAGCCACCAGGGAAGCCCAACAAAAGGGUUCAUCCUAGGACUCCUCUACAUGGACUUGCUCUCCGGGAUCUGAAAUGCGGCCCAGCCCUGAGUGCUCACGCAGGGGGAGGGGAUGUUUGUUGGGUGAAGAGCAGUCCACAAAGACAACCACCCUGUGAGCAGUGUGCUCCUCAC
ensembl:lncRNA